rnacentral:piRNA from 1 species
UCCUGUGACUCAAUGAAACGUGUGUGCUUC